rnacentral:rRNA from 1 species
UGGGAGAGUAAAGUGGCGCACGGGUGAGUAACGCGUGGGUAACCUACCCUUGAAUUGGGGAUAACUCUUCGAAAGGGGAGUUAAUACCGAAUAAUAUUCCAAUUUCUGCGGGAGUUGGAAUCAAAGGUGGCCUCUGCAUGCAAGCUAUCGUUUAAGGAUGGGCCCGCGUGCCAUUAGCUAGUUGGUAGGGUAAUGGCCUACCAAGGCUACGAUGGUUAGCUGGUCUAAGAGGAUGGCCAGCCACACUGGAACUGAGACACGGUCCAGACUCCUACGGGAGGCAGCAGUGGGGAAUCUUGCGCAAUGGGGGAAACCCUGACGCAGCAACGCCGCGUGGGUGAUGAAGGCCUUCGGGUCGUAAAGCCCUGUCAGGUGGGAAGAAACUUGUGGAUGCUAAUAUCAUCCAUACUUGACGGUACCACCGGAGGAAGCACCGGCUAACUCCGUGCCAGCAGCCGCGGUAAUACGGAGGGUGCAAGCGUUGUUCGGAAUUAUUGGGCGUAGAGCGCGUGUAGGCGGUUGGGUAAGUCAGA